rnacentral:misc_RNA from 1 species
GAUGAAGAACGCAGCGAAAUGCGAUAAGUAAUGUGAAUUGCAGAAUUCAGUGAAUCAUCGAAUCUUUGAACGCACAUUGCGCCCGCCAGUAUUCUGGCGGGCAUGCCUGUUCGAGCGUCAUUUCAACCAUCAAGCCCCCGGCUUGUGUUGGGGACCUGCGGCUGCCGCAGGCCCUGAAAACCAGUGGCGGGCUCGCUGUCACACCGAGCGUAGUAGAUUUUCAUCUCGCUCAGGGCGUGCUGCGGGUUCCGGCCGUAAAAAGCCUUAUUUACCCAAGGUUGACCUCGGAUCAGGUAGGAAGACCCGCUGAACUUAAGCAUAUCAAUAAGCGGAGA